ensembl:misc_RNA Metazoa_SRP Metazoan signal recognition particle RNA
GUUGGUCAUGGUGGUGCAUGACUGUAGUUCUAGCUACUCAGGAGGCUGGGGCAGGAGGAUCACUUGAGCCCAGGAGUUCAAGGCUGCAGUGAGCUAGGAUUGUGCCACUGCACUCCAACCUGGGCAAUAGAGGGAGAACCUGUCUCUU